rnacentral:lncRNA from 10 species
GGGACAGCCCGCCUGGCGCGCGGGGCUCUGCGCGCUGCGACCCUCCCCGGCAGUCCCGCCCGCCUCUCCUCGCCCUCUCUCUGCCUGGCCUCCAACUUUGCCUCUCGCUAUCCUCUCCGCCGGCGCCCCCUUUCCCGGCGGUCCCCGGGAUGGUCCCCGGCACCCCGAGGACGCCGAGGUUACGGGAAGUUCGGGGACUGGCGGGAGAAGGGGUUUGGGGGUGGUCCGCGGCGAGGGGCGCGGGGUGCAUCUUCUCUUCCUUUUAUGGGCUGCCACACUUGUGUAUCCCUUCUUCCUUGAAUUUAACCAGGAGUGAGCAGUGGACAGCUUCUUCCCUAUGAGAAGGAGGUGAAGCAGGACCUGAAAUCCCGUGCUCAGCUCCCACAUGCCCCGUGUCCAGGACAAGUCCUUUGCUGAAUCAGCGGCAGACACCACCCGGAGCCCUGCGGGAGCCUUUCCCUGUUCUUCCAGCAUGGAUCUGAAACUCCCUUCCCACUUUCUGCAGCCUCCCAGAGAUAGUUCAGGCUCCAGCCUCAUGUGAUAGCAUGAAGAGAAACUGGUUCCAACAGCUGUGUGCUCUGCUGCCCUCAUCCCAAACAACAGUUUAAAUGCACAAUUACGCUUUUCUCUAAGGCCCAAAAUAGGAUAGGAAAGAUCGUUUUGCUAUCCCUGAAUGCCUGUCACCCUUGUUUCGUAAGGAAGUCAGUCCCAGAAUAGUUGUUCUGCUCCCUCCCUUCUAAUAAGUGCUGCGCUGAGUGUGCUUGCUUUGCCAGAUGGUUAAAACAGAGCAGGGGAUAGAAGGACAGAUGUCUUCACCCUCAUGGAGUUCACCUUCCAGUAGGAGGAGGCGAUAGGCCGGGGUCUGCACAUGUGCGUGCUACAGCCUGUUCCACGGUGCGUGGCGUGCGGGGCAGUAGAGACAGGAUUUCACCAUGUUGGCUAGGAUGGUCUCGAUCUCCUGACCUUGUGAUCCGCCCCUCCCUCAGCCUCCCAAAGUGCUGGGAUUACAGGCGUGAGCCACUGCACCCUGCCAGAAAACUCAUUCUUCUACUCCAUCCUACAGUUUUCCCUAAGAGAGAAACAAUAAAACGCCACCACGACCAAUGGCAAAAAGCUGGCACCCACUCCACGACUUUUCAUAUCUACACGUUUGUACAGCUUUAUUUUUAAGCAUUCUGAAAUUCUAUGCAGGAGAGACCCCAGCUAGGUUUAGGGAGUCCUAGGGUUUGUGGAGUAAAUGAAGUUUCUCCCUAGAAUUAGGGAGGGUAGAGACAGGCAGAGAACUGACAAUCCUAACAGCUGCUGUCCUCAGAGCCACUGUUUCUGAGAGCUGCUCGCUGAGUGCUUCUAGCGAGUUAAAUGGUGUUCGCCCAAAAGACCUGUUCACGUCCUGAUCCUGGGAACCUGUGGCUGUGAUCUUAUUUGGAAAAAGCUCUACAUUACGUCUUUGCAGAAGUAAUCAUGUUAAGGAUCUUGAGAGGACGUGACCCUGAAUUAUCCGGCUGUGCUUGACAUCCAAUGACUGGUGAUGUUGUAAGAGAAAGACGGAGGGAGAUGUAAGAUAUGAGAGAAGGCCACGCCGAGACUGGAGUGAUGUGGCCGUGAGCCGAGGAAUGCCUGGAGCCACCAGAAGCUGGCAAAGGCAGAAGGAGCCUCCUCUGGACCCUGUGGUGGGUACGCAGCCUGGCAGAUAUAUUCAUUUUGGACUUCUGGCCUCCAGGGCUGUGAGAGAAUACAUUUCUGCAGUUUUAAGCCACGCAAUCUGUGUCCCUGGGAAGCCCAAAUAGGGCGAGACCUUUUGCCAAGUGGUCUCCAAGUGUCACGUCAUCGAAUCCUUCUCCCGGGCUUGUGCCAUAGUCUUUCCACUUUAGAGAGGAGGAAACGGAGGCUCUGGGGCACAAAGCCAGUCAGUGGCGGGGCCUGACUUUCAACCCAGCCUGCAUGGGGUCAGAGAACCCACUUUCCCCGUGGGGCCUGCGGCCUAUGCUAAGGAUGCUUGUUCAUCUCUCCUGGGCCCGGGAGUGGUUCUUCUGGCCUAGAAGGCAAGAGAAGCCAGUCUUUCGGUUUCAAGGUUUCCCAUUAGUGGAGUCAAGCAAAAAUGGUGUGUUGCGCUUCUUCCUGAGCUCAGCCUGGGAGCACGGCCUUAACAUGCUCAGUGGAUCCCAAGACGGCAGCAUGGCGGUGCCAGCCUGGCAGCCUUAGCUCCUUGCAGCUGUGCUUGUGAAGGGAGCAGUGAGUGGCUUCCCUCUGUGACCACCUUGGGUCCUAAGUUUCACUGGGGCUGGGAUCCAUGCGUCUUGCAAUUGGCUAGGAAUUUCCCGGGCUUUCCCUCCCUUCCCUGUUCAGGGCACUGGGUGUGAGGCAUUGCAUCCGUUCUUCUGCUCACCUGCUUCCCCCUAAGAGUGUGAGCUGUAUAAAGGCAGGAACCAAACAGGAGCCUCCACGUGUUCCCAGUUCAAGGGCAGUGUCCCUUGUGUGUUUCUUCAAUAAUUCAGUGGAUGACUUAUUCUGCACGGACACUGCACACACUCGGCCCUGCCGUCUCCGGAGCUGGGAGGUGUGGAGCUGGCUCCUGACCUAUUUACACACUGAGGAGGGAUGUGGAAAACAGGAGGAGUCCCAGGGCUCCAAUGCAAAGAGGAGCCUCUUCAUUCCCUCUGCCGUGGCCGUGCAAGGGACAGCGCCUUGUGGGAUUGUGUCCUCCACCCAAUUAUCCUUAGCAUUAGUUUGCUAAGGAUAAUGGCCUCCAGCUCCACCCAUGUCCCUGCAAAGGACAUGAUCUCAUUCCUUUCUGUGUCUGCAUAGUAUUCCAUGGUGUAUAUGUACCGCGUUUUCUUUAUCGAGUCUAUCAUUGAUGGGCGCUUCAGUUGAUUCCAUGUCUUUGCUACUGUGACUCGUGCUGCAAUGAGCAUUCGCGUGCAUGCCUUUAUGGUGGAAUUAUUUCUAUUCCUUUGGGUGCAUACCCAGUCAUGGGAUUGCUGGGUCAAAUGGCAUUUCUGCCUCUAGGUCUUUAAGGAAUUGCCACGCUGUCUUCCACAAUGCAAGCAAGACGUUAUUGAAAGUGUAAAGGGGGCUGCUAAUUACGCUGGGGCAGGCGGGGCAAACCAGGACCCUGCCAGGCGAGUCUAGGCCAUGGCCCCACACCAGAAGAUGAGGGCUGGAGACUCCUGGAGAGGAAUCUGAGUGGCGAGACCACCUGCAUUCAUUAUGUGUCAACUCUGCCAGGUGACAGUCCCCAGUGAGCCCAUCAAACAUGAACCUAGGUGCUGUUGGGAAGGUCUUUGGAUGCCAUUAACAUCUACAAUCAGUUGGUUUUCAGUAGAGGAGAUUAUCCUCAAGAAUGUGGGCGGGCCUCAUCCAGUGAGCUGAAAGGCCUUGAGAGCAGAACUAGGAUUUUGGAGGAGGAUGAAGUGUUGCCUCCGGACCGCAGCGUCACCUCUUGCCUGGGAAUUUCCAGCUUCCUUUUCAGACUUCGGACUUGCCUCCAAGCUCCCUGAAUCUUUUCAUAUAUUUAUGUCCUAUUGCAGAUUGUGUUUCUCUGGCUGGACUGUAACUGAUGAGGAGGACUGAAAUUCCAGGCUUGGUUGUAUAGCAUAUAAGUGAGGUCAUUUGGGUCUGGGGAGCUGGGGGGGGGGUCCUUCAGCUGCAUGAGUGUGACCUGCACCAAGGUGCCUGGCUACCUGGGGCGAGGGGGCUGCCAUCUAGCCCACACCCCACUCCUAGGCCGUGCACCCUGGCAUGGGUCUAUGUCUGGCUCAAGGAAGGGUUCCCUCCUCCCUCCAAUGUGCACAGAGACCUUGAGAUCCCAUCCACCUAACCCUGUGCCCUCAGAAGCCUCCUCUGAGAGGGGGCACCUUUUCCUAAUUCUCACAAAGGCUAGUGGCUACCUUGUAGAUAGCCUUGGAUGUGUUAGGACACUUUUCUGAACAUCAGUUCCUUAUCUGUAAGAUGGGAGUUGUGUCCUCAAUGGGUAAUUAGAGAUUAUUCAUGGGAAAUCCUAUCACGGUAUCUACCACGGGGAGACUCACAAGUGCUGAUCUUUGCUGGUGUUGCUGCAUUUGUUAUUGAAUGCAUUCGUUAGGAGUCUUGUUAGUAAGUGACAAAAAUCCAACUCAAAUUGGCUUACACUAAACAAGUUUCCUGCAUCUGGGAGUAUAAAGGGUG